rnacentral:lncRNA from 1 species
CAAACAGCAUGGAGGAACCGUGAGCAAAGUGGUUUCCAUAGUCAAUUCAGUGCUAGAAAAUGUUUGGGUGUCGACCAGCCUGAGUAACAAGUAUUCACUGAUUACUCAGGACAUUCAUGAGAGACUCCAGAAGAACCAGGCCUUUUCAGUGAAAGUAAACAACUUACGGAAUAAAGACGAGUGUAGAUCUGCUCUGACAAUGAUUAAAGGGUGAACAGAGAAUGCUGAAAGCCACAAGAAAAGGCAUUCACCAAAGAGAACAGAGCCAGGAGAGAGCCUCUGGGAAAGAGAAGGCUUUAGAGACAUCGUUUUAACUUGGCAGUAAAGCAAACAA